rnacentral:lncRNA from 1 species
UAUAAUUUUUCCCCUAAACUAUAAAUACUUCAUAUUCUACUAUUUCUUUAGAAACCCUAGCCGCUCUCACAAUAUCUCAGUCCUCACGCACUCAAAGCCUCACCGGCCACCAGCCGAGCUGCCAUCACUAUUCCAACACGACUAAACUGCUGUCAUAUUGACCAUGGCAAGCAUAGCUACCAGGUUGAUUGGAGCCGAAAACAGAGACCGCUGGAGCAGGAGGACCCGAUAAUCCUCAAAAUGUAGAAGCAGCUACGAGUCGGCAAAAGUCAAAAGAAAGGGCUCAACAAGUAUGCAUUCAUCUGUGUUCUUUUGGCCUUGGUUAACUCAAUUCUAUUGGGUUGCGGUGAGUCUUCAUUCAACACCCUUUUCCUGUUUGCUUUUAAUUUUUACUCUAAAUGUUAAUAUAUAAAUAUUUGGCAUGUAAUUGUAAUCGGAUGGUGGUAUGGUGACGUGAAAUGAAGCUUUUGGGGUGUAGACAUUUGAGUAAUGAGUGGUGCAGUUCUUUUCACAAAAGAAGAUCUUGACAUAACGGUCGUCCAAGUAGAUUCUUGCAGCAGAUUCACAGUAAAUCCUCUCUCUUCGUUCCUUAAUUUGACAAAUACUUGCAUGUUUAUAUAAGUUUUUAAAUUUCUUUUUAUCUAAUUGGAUAAAUUGGUGAUGAAAUUUAAGUUAAAUGUCACUGAUUUUUUUAAAUUGAAAUUGUUUUACACAGCUGGUUUCUUUGAUUGAUUCCUUUGGUUACUUGUUUACACCACCAAUUUGAGCUAGUUUAUAUGCCUUUAGAUCACAAACUAGGAUACCGCAUGAUUUGGUCUUUGAUCCAAAAACCUUGGAUGAGGUAUGGAUUUUGUUUAAUUGUCAAUGUUUCUUGAAUUGUGAUUUCCUAGAGUCUGGCUUUUCAAACUGUGUGACUGAAAAGUUAUUUUAGUUUUAAAAAAAUAAAAAAUAAUAAUAAUCUAAGCCCUAUCUUUCUUUCCAUACUCUUUCGUUGCUUAGG